CAAGUACCGUGUAGGGAAAGUUGAAAAGCACUUGGAAGAGAGAGUUAAAGAGGACGUGAAACCGAUAAGAUGGAAACGGAUAGAGCUGACGUAUCUAGCUUGUAUUCAGCUAUUUAACUAAACGGAGUUGGAUUAUUUUAGACUCGCUAUGAGCUAAAUGGUUUAACUGCAGCUACGCAACCGUUUGGUAACAAGUAGUGCAUUUGCAGGUGGAGUGCGCCGAAGCGUGCUAAUUAGCGAUUGGAAACCGAUUUAGAGGAUAUUCGUUUUACGACGAGUAAACCCUGGGCCGGCGAAAAAUUGUUUAAUUGGCAUUGUUAUGUUAGUGGGCAUGGAUUACGUGCGAAUUUUGGGUUGGUUAGAUGUCAGAUGUCGGUCGCAUGCGACACGUGUCUGUUCUAUUUGGCUAACCUAAUCUUGGUACACAUGCUCCGGACUUCGGUGUAAAAGUCGGUCAUCUAUCCGACCCGUCUUGAAACACGGACCAAGGAGUUUAGCGUAUGCGCGAGUCAUUGAGUGUUUAAAACUUAAAGGCGUAAUGAAAGUGAAGGCAUUUUUAUUAAUGCUUAUAUGCGAUCCGUUGAAUUUCGAUUCGUCGGCGCAGCAUAGCCCCGCUCUAAUUGCUUGCAAUGGGGCGGAGGUAGAGCGUAUUCGCUGAGACCCGAAAGAUGGUGAACUAUGCCUGAGCAGGAUGAAGCCAGAGGAAACUCUGGUGGAAGUCCGAAGCGGUUCUGACGUGCAAAUCGAUCGUCUGAC
rnacentral:rRNA from 1 species